UACGUAGGGGGCAAGCGUUGUCCGGAAUCAUUGGGCGUAAAGAGCGUGUAGGCGGUCCGGUAAGUCGGUUGUGAAAGUCCAGGGCUCAACCCUGGGAUGCCGAUCGAUACUGUCGGACUAGAGUUCGGAAGAGGCGAGUGGAAUUCCCGGUGUAGCGGUGAAAUGCGCAGAUAUCGGGAGGAACACCAAUGGCGAAGGCAGCUCGCUGGGACGUUACUGACGCUGAGACGCGAAAGCGUGGGGAACAAACAGG
rnacentral:rRNA from 1 species